UAGUCCACGCCGUAAACGAUGACAACUAGCUGUUGGGAGACUAGAUCUCUCAGUGGCGCAGCUAACGCUUUAAGUUGUCCGCCUGGGGAGUACGGCCGCAAGGCUAAAACUCAAAUGAAUUGACGGGGACCCGCACAAGCGGUGGAGCAUGUGGUUUAAUUCGAGGCAACGCGAAGAACCUUACCAGGGCUUGACAUGCCGGUCGCGGAUCGCAGAGAUGCUUUCCUUCAGCUUGGCUGGACCGUGCACAGGUGCUGCACGGCUGUCGUCAGCUCGUGUCGUGAGAUGUUGGGUUAAGUCCCGCAACGAGCGCAACCCUCAUCCUUAGUUGCUACCAUUUAGUUGAGAACUCUAAGGAAACUGCCGGAGUUAAUCCGGAGGAAGGUGGGGGAUGACGUCAAGUCUUCAUGGCCCUUACGUCCUGGGGCUACACACGUGCUACAAUGGCGGUGACAAUGGGGCAGCCACUCU
rnacentral:rRNA from 1 species